rnacentral:rRNA from 1 species
AACAGGAUUAGAUACCCUGGUAGUCCACGCCGUAAACGAUGUCGAUUUGGAGGUUGUGCCCUUGAGGCGUGGCUUCCGGAGCUAACGCGUUAAAUCGACGCCUGGGGAGUACGGCCGCAAGGUUAAAACUCAAAUGAAUUGACGGGGGGCCCGCACAAGCGGUGGAGCAUGUGGUUUAAUUCGAUGCAACGCGAAGAACCUUACCUGGUCUUGACAUCCACAGAACUUUCCAGAGAUGGAUUGGUGCCUUCGGGAACUGUGAGACAGGUGCUGCAUGGCUGUCGUCAGCUCGUGUUGUGAAAUGUUGGGUUAAGUCCCGCAACGAGCGCAACCCUUAUCCUUUGUUGCCAGCGGUUAGGCCGGGAACUCAAAGGAGACUGCCAGUGAUAAACUGGAGGAAGGUGGGGAUGACGUCAAGUCAUCAUGGCCCUUACGACCAGGGCUACACACGUGCUACAAUGGCAUAUACAAAGAGAAGCGACCUCGCGAGAGCAAGCGGACCUCAUAAAGUAUGUCGUAGUCCGG